CGGUCAGGUGCUGUGGGUGGCGAGUUAGCUGUCGUGGCGUACGGGUUCCAGAUCCGGUCUUUCCCUCUGUCAACAUCCUUAGCACCGGCGACGAUUGGCCGACGACUACUGGUGAGGUCCGAGGUCCUUCUCUGCCUCACCUGCUCGGCCGUCGGCUGGGCAGCGUCGGCCCCUUUUGAUAUUUCGUUCAAUUCGAGCCUGCGAUCGAUUAGAUAUACAUCGAUUGUGUUGAAAUUGCUGAGUUAGACGAUGUGUGCAUCACCUCCUAGACUGUAGUCAGUAUUCAGUUGGAUGGCUCGUUUGGGGGUAACACUAUCUGUUCAGUAGUCUGUAUUGAGUUGUAUUCAGUAUGUUCCUCAAAAGGUAGAGC
rnacentral:lncRNA from 1 species